GGCUUGGUAGUGCAACGGUUAGCACGCAUGAAUUGCAUAGGUGAUUCCAUUGGCUCUUCACGAGUCCUUUGUUCGACUCGGAGUCAGGCCU